GGAUCCAGACUUUGAUCCUGGCUCAGGACGAACGCUGGCGGCGCGCCUAACACAUGCAAGUCGAACGAGAGAUGAGGAACUUGCUCUUCAAAUCGAGUGGCGAACGGGUGAGUAACGCGUGAGGAACCUGCCUCAAAGAGGGGGACAACAGUUGGAAACGACUGCUAAUACCGCAUAAGCCCACGGCUCGGCAUCGAGCAGAGGGAAAAGGAGCAAUCCGCUUUGAGAUGGCCUCGCGUCCGAUUAGCUGGUUGGUGAGGUAACGGCCCACCAAGGCGACGAUCGGUAGCCGGACUGAGAGGUUGAACGGCCACAUUGGGACUGAGACACGGCCCAGACUCCUACGGGAGGCAGCAGUGGGGAAUAUUGCACAAUGGGGGAAACCCUGAUGCAGCGACGCCGCGUGGAGGAAGAAGGUCUUCGGAUUGUAAACUCCUGUUGUUGAGGAAGAUAAUGACGGUACUCAACAAGGAAGUGACGGCUAACUACGUGCCAGCAGCCGCGGUAAAACGUAGGUCACAAGCGUUGUCCGGAAUUACUGGGUGUAAAGGGAGCGCAGGCGGGAGAACAAGUUGGAAGUGAAAUCCAUGGGCUCAACCCAUGAACUGCUUUCAAAACUGUUUUUCUUGAGUAGUGCAGAGGUAGGCGGAAUUCCCGGUGUAGCGGUGGAAUGCGUAGAUAUCGGGAGGAACACCAGUGGCGAAGGCGGCCUACUGGGCACCAACUGACGCUGAGGCUCGAAAGUGUGGGUAGCAAACAGGAUUAGAUACCCUGGUAGUCCACACCGUAAACGAUGAUUACUAGGUGUUGGAGGAUUGACCCCUUCAGUGCCGCAGUUAACACAAUAAGUAAUCCACCUGGGGAGUACGACCGCAAGGUUGCAACUCAAAGGAAUUGACGG
rnacentral:rRNA from 1 species